rnacentral:rRNA from 1 species
AUUGAACGCUGGCGGCAGGCUUAACACAUGCAAGUCGAGCGGGGGAAGGUAGCUUGCUACUGGACCUAGCGGCGGACGGGUAAGUAAUGCUUAGGAAUCUGCCUAUUAGUGGGGGACAACAUCUCGAAAGGGAUGCUAAUACCGCAUACGUCCUACGGGAGAAAGCAGGGGAUCUUCGGACCUUGCGCUAAUAGAUGAGCCUAAGUCGGAUUAGCUAGUUGGUGGGGUAAAGGCCUACCAAGGCGACGAUCUGUAGCGGGUCUGAGAGGAUGAUCCGCCACACUGGGACUGAGACACGGCCCAGACUCCUACGGGAGGCAGCAGUGGGGAAUAUUGGACAAUGGGGGGAACCCUGAUCCAGCCAUGCCGCGUGUGUGAAGAAGGCCUUAUGGUUGUAAAGCACUUUAAGCGAGGAGGAGGCUACUUUAGUUAAUACCUAGAGAUAGUGGACGUUACUCGCAGAAUAAGCACCGGCUAACUCUGUGCCAGCAGCCGCGGUAA